AUUCAGUAUAAUGUGAUAAGUACAAUUGCGGAAACAGAUGUGGAAUAUUUCCAUGUUAUACGAAGAAGGAUAUCAAAAGAAGCCUUCCCAGAAAUCAUUCCUGAGCUGAUUUAACUCACUGUCAAAGAGAAGAAAGAAUGUUCCAGACAGAGGCAACAAGUGAACAAGACCAUGGAGAUAGAGAAUAGCUUGGUGCCGCAGUCAUUGAGGUUGCUGCAAUAAAAGAUUUCUAACUUCAGUUCCAGUAAACUUCAUAGUUGAAUGGUUUAUUGGACUUUUCUCAUUCCUUUAUAUUUUUAGAAGUACAUUGUAAGAUGAAGUUUUUACUUACUUCAUGCCCUAAAAUACCAUAUCAGGAAUUAUAUGAGUAAAUAUCUUUGCUAUGCUAAAAUUUCUUUCAUAACAGCCUCAGUAACACUUAUCACAAUUGUUGGGAAUACCAUAUAGCAUUGCUUCCUAAAAUUUCUAUUCGCAAUUGGGUGUGACAUCUUACACCUGGAUUCCCAGACCAUGGGAGCCUAAGCCAGGAGAACCGUGAUCCUGAAGUUAACAUCAGCUUCAUAAAAAGACUGUUUCCUCCCC
rnacentral:lncRNA from 1 species